UGGGGAAUAUUGCGCAAUGGGGGAAACCCUGACGCAGCGACGCCGCGUGUGGGAUGAAGGUCUUCGGAUUGUAAACCACUGUCGCGAGGGACGAAGCUCUGACGGUACCUCGAAAGGAAGCACCGGCUAACUCUGUGCCAGCAGCCGCGGUAAUACAGAGGGUGCGAGCGUUGUCCGGAAUCACUGGGCGUAAAGGGCGCGUAGGCGGCCCGGUAAGUAGGGGGUGAAAUCUCAUGGCUCAACUGUGAGGCUGCCUUCUAGACUGCCAGGCUUGAGCACAGUAGAGGCGAGUGGAAUUCCCGGUGUAGCGGUGGAAUGCGUAGAGAUCGGGAAGAACAUCGGUGGCGAAGGCGGCUCGCUGGGCUGUUGCUGACGCUGAGGCGCGAAAGCGUGGGGAGCAAACAGGAUUAGAUACCCUCGUAGUCCCUGAGCGGGCUGGCAAGGCGCAU
rnacentral:rRNA from 1 species